AACUGCAGUUCUUCGACCACUGCGCAAGAGAGCUGAAGGUCUUUUCCACGCCAUGAGAAGAUUCUCGGACAGGCGUCUAGAAAUACGUCUUUCCCGCAUCUGCCUUCCUGCGUCUUUUUGGUGGCGGUUACACGGCCCAUCCUGAAUGCUCUAACGGCGGGACUUUCGUGCACCUAGAUGCAGUACAGCAGUGCUAUUAGGCAGGACAGGUGUCGGCGAGCUUCCAGUUGUGUCUGUAGAUGUUCUUUCCUCUCCUGUUCUCCUCGGAUUUCCAACAGUGCGGGGUUCUUCCAGAUGCACGUCUCUCGGCGAUGCGGGGACAGAGGGAACAGCUUUACAGGAAAGUUGAGGGCGGUUGACAAUAGGAAUGAACCGUAGAGAUGAGGAGCAAAUACUCCGAUAGCCUGUUAAAGAACUGAUCCGCAGGGCGCCACCACAUCAGAUCAGCCACGUCAGAACGUCUGCACAGAACGGCAGGAAGACCGCUCGACAGGGGUUCGUGCUAGGAGGGCCGGGACGGGCGAGAUUGACAGGUUCGGUGCUUUACUUUCUUCCGAUUUCUGUCUUUUGUUCGUAGACACGUCUGUGUCUAGCUUCGCAAAGCGGCAGGAAGCGCAGGGGUCACCUGAUAAAACGCGGGAACCGCGCGAAAGCAGGUCCAUUGUGCCGGGAGCAGUAUUCCCACCACACACAUCCUCACGCGGUUAGAUGGAUAUGUGGGAAUGUGGAGCAGUCGGCGGAAAAACGGAACAAGACUGAGCCGCAAGGACUGGCAGAAGUUCUUGUUCGUUGUUGGUAGGAGCGAGGCGAGAAAGGUCGUAUCCUGAGACCAGUGAUCGAGGAAGCGGAACACUGUGUACGACCGUGGUGUAAGACAGAGCCGGGAAUGAAACGAUACGGAGACAAUCUCUCAGUAUUUAGUGGUGCCGCUGUUUUUGCCACGUAGCUAUCUGGGUGUCCAGUUUUCUGAGAUCUAAGGCAACUACUUCAACGUCUGUAAAUCUGCUCUAACAGCAUGUAGAACUGUUCCGCCUCGUUCAGGAACGAAAUGCGAAACGGGAUGCUUCCUAGAUACACCAUCAUGCGUGUGUGUGAUUCUUGCUAGACCUGGCCAGCACGGUCGCGUUUCUGAAUCGGUGAACUCCAGUUUUGCUGUCGUCCUGUGCUGUCAAAUCUGGUACAAGCACGUGUGUUGCUGGAGGAGUGGCAAUCUGAAUCAUGUCAGUUUCGAUAACUUCUUCGUCUUGAGGACGGUGUGCAUCCACAAACUGUCAUUCAUUUUUAUCAUCUCGGGUACCUGUGAGUGGCCCAUGUGGGAAACGUGAGUGACACGCACGUAUACCUGUGCACAACAGACGGUAAUCCACUGGUACUUGGCAACCUCUUUUCGUGAACCACUCUGUUCGCUGUUUGUUUUUUUCCUGAAGGAGUUAUCCGAGGGUAGUUUGGUCCCUCAUGUCUUGCAUGUUUCUCAGCUACUUCCUCGGAUUUCCUCCUUGCCUUCUUUUCCCUGCCAGUGUCCAUCCUCUACGGUGGAAGGAGACCCAGCACUCCCUGCGGCAGCGUCUCCCAGUGAACGUCAGUCAACACGUUUCACCCCUUGGACCUUGCGAGAUUGAUAGAGAUAUGCUACAAAAACCCUGUACAGAACAUCAGUCUUGUACACCACUUUCUGCAGAGUCAGAACGUUGACUCUUGGUGUUUUGCACAGUGCCCAAAUCUCAACCACAGGUGUGGACCGCAGGCAACCCGUCUGAAGACGUUACUCACCUCACCAAUUCGGAUUAUGUCAUCUUCCACCCCCUCUGCUCACGUUUUUCUCACGUGUGUUUCAUAAAGUAGGGCACGGACUGCCAGUCGUGGCGUACUUUCUCCCACUACCCUAGGACUUUCGCAGUUUCUGUGAAGUUGACAAGCGGGCCAACGGUAUUUUCGGCGAAAGCGCAAGUCUAUGGUCGGUCAAACGAGAUCUUUUAACCCUUUUCUCUGACGCGAAAACCCGGGGAAAACUCUUGGGAAAAUGUCAGAUCGACCGAGGAGAGGAAGCCCGCUUCCCCGGCGCCGCAAGUCUCACAGAGGUCCGUGCCACUGGAAACAUUCAGCUUUUCGCGGAUAUCCCAGAACGGUACAGUUGUGCCGCACACGUGGGUGAAAGACUGCGUCGGGCUAGUAACAUCGUGCCGUUCUGCAGUUUCACCUGAAAUGGUGUCGAGCAAAGCCCGCGUCUCGGGGGCACUGGCAAACCUGCUACAGAUUUGCAACCAGGUUGUGCGUGGCAGUAUCCAGGGGUGUUCUUCAACGGGGCGGCGAAAUCGCAGAUCACAGAGAAGAAGCAGUGGAUUUGGUGUGUGUCGAUUUGGCUGUGUUUGCUUAACUCAGUCACCUGAAGCGCCUCGAGCCUUGCACUCCCUAGACCACUGUCUCGUCAGCACUUCCCCGUCAGGUGGACCGUACUGAUCCGUCCCCAAAGCGAGCACGUCUUGUUUGCGUAACCGUGGUGUCCUUUUCGUUGUGCUGUGUCGAGACCCGACAGGGGCUGUUUUCGUACACGCUGUCUUUGGUUAGCUAGCAAAAACGGUUCUGGAUUCCUGUCCCGUAGAGAGAGACAGUGGCGGCGUGCAGUGACGAGACUGACGCAGAAGGCAGCUUCACUGCGGAGAGACCGGAGCGUAUGCGCGGAGUUCAACCUCUCGAGCCCGGUGCGCGUUUUUGGGAACUCUUUGGUCCUGAGUCGUUUCGCAAAGCCGAAACAGAGGGUGUCAGUGCUGCUCACUGGCUAUCGAUAUGCUUGCGCCCGGUGACGGAACGGAGAGCGGAUUCCGCUUGACUGCUGACGCUUCAAAUGAUGAGCGCUGCUCCCCAAACGAUCCUGCACACCUCAGACGAGUUCCUUGUGCC
rnacentral:lncRNA from 1 species